CAGUAGCCGCGGUAAUACGUAGGGUGCGAGCGUUAAUCGGAAUUACUGGGCGUAAAGCGUGCGCAGGCGGCUGUGUAAGACAGGUGUGAAAUCCCCGGGCUUAACCUGGGAACUGCGCUUGUGACUGCACAGCUAGAGUAUGGCAGAGGGGGGUGGAAUCCCACGUGUAGCAGUGAAAUGCGUAGAGAUGUGGAGGAACACCGAUGGCGAAGGCAGCCCCCUGGGCAAAUACUGACGCUCAUGCACGAAAGCGUGGGGAGCAAACAGGAUUAGAUACCCCGGUAGUCCCUGUCUCUUAUAC
rnacentral:rRNA from 1 species